UACGGAGGGGACGAGCGUUGUUCGGAAUUACUGGGCGUAAAGCGCACGUAGGCGGAUUUGUUAGUCAGGGGUGAAAUCCCGAGGCUCAACCUCGGAACUGCCUUUGAUACUGCAAAUCUCGAGUCCGGAAGAGGUGAGUGGAAUUCCUAGUGUAGAGGUGAAAUUCGUAGAUAUUAGGAAGAACACCAGUGGCGAAGGCGGCUCACUGGUCCGGUACUGACGCUGAGGUGCGAAAGCGUGGGGAGCAAACAGG
rnacentral:rRNA from 1 species